ensembl:snoRNA
CGAGCACCCCAACCCAAGAACCGCCGCUGCCUGUAGCUGCGGUUUAAGCAGUGGUGCACACAGCAAAGGUGCCUCGUCGCCUUUGGGGGUCUGCGAAGUGCCCCCCAGAGUGAAUCGAGGGGCCCCACAGCC